CACAACCACACCACUUACAACCCCCACCACGUCAUCUAACCCCACUAGAACUACCCUUCCUCCCAAUCAACAGGGGAAUAAGGGGAAGGAACAGGUAGGAAACGCAUGACGAGGAGAGAAAACGAGUCAUGUGAUGAUGUCUGGCAAUUCCACCCCACUGUGAGCUGCCAUAUACUUGGGCCGGGCGGGAUAGUCAGGCACAACAGUCUUCCUCGUCAUCUCACACGGUACAACAAGAUGGCGCGCACAGGAGCAGUAGCGGCGGUGGUGCUGGGGACGGUUCUGGCUCUCACGCAGUUCGAGGCGGCGCUGGCAACACCCGUCAGCGCCAACGUACACACAUCGGGAUUCUCGGGCAGUAGCUCCGGGGCCGCGCAGAGCCAGGUUGUGGAGAACGACGGUACCAUCAAGGGCGAGUGUGCGUACGUGGGCCCUGAUGGCAACACUAUCAAGAUCUCGUAUCGGCAGCCCCCCAACGGCCAGCUCCAGGCAGAGUCCAACACUCCCGGCGUUGACCCUGCCGCCGCGCUCGCCACCUGCAGGAGGGCCGCUGAAGCCGCCUCCAUCGCCGCCCAACAGAACUUCCAGCAGGUCCAGGAAAUGAUCCGCCAACAGCAACUGCAGCUCCAAGCCUUGCAAGAGAGAUUCCAGGUCCCAAACUUCUUCGGCUUCCCCAACCAGUUCCAGUUCCCGGGCUUCGGUCAUUUCUAAGGACGACAGCCUCACCCUCUCGCUCUUCCUUCUCCCCCAGAUCCUCCGCUCCAUUCGUCGCCCCUAAAGAAUAAAGACGAGGUGAGGGUUGUCAUUUGUGGAAGUGCUAAUCAACUAUUCACAUCAGCAACACUAAGAAGGACAGCAACCUCGCCCUCCCUCGCUCUCCCCUCUCCCUCAGUACCGCCGCUUCACUGGUCGUCCCUGAAGAAUAGAGACAAGUGAGGUUCAUAAUCUGUGGAAGUGUUAAUUCAUAUAUCCGUAGCAGCAAAAUGACUUACAGCCGAGCAUUGCCGAAAUCGCUGUACGAGGAAUGAAAUUUUUCAACAUGUCAGUGAAAGCAAGCCAUUAUUCGUUAUCCGCGGAAGACAAAGACGAAGUGAAGUUUAUAAAUAGGACGUGCUUUCUUUCCAAAUCUACUUAAUCAAAACCAUGGCUGCACCAGACGCCUCAUAGACCCUUGCAUGUUGGGACAAGAAAUAUGAGAUGAAAAAAAGUUAAAGAAACCCAUUACCAACAAGCCCAUGAUUUACGUUAUGUUAAAAAGCUUCACUGAAAACACAUCUACAAUCGUAUCACUAGUUAUAUAAUCCGCCUAUUGAUAUUGUGUUUCGUAACCUUGUAACCUGUAUUAUUUCAUUAUAUUUUGUCUUAUUAUAUAAAAACAAAACGCGUAUUUCUUUUUUUAUGGAUUAAUGGCACCACAAGAGUCUCCCUAAUCCUUGUCUUGAGAUUAUGAAAAACAAUUUGUGACCCUUAAAA